rnacentral:piRNA from 1 species
UCAUCUUCAUGUUAAUGGUGACCUGGGAUGA